rnacentral:rRNA from 1 species
AGCAGUGGGGAAUAUUGGACAAUGGGCGAAAGCCUGAAUCCAGCCAUGCCGCGUGAGUGAUGAAGGCCCUAGGGUUGUAAAGCUCUUUUGUGCGGGAAGAUAAUGACGGUACCGCAAGAAUAAGCCCCGGCUAACUUCGUGCCAGCAGCCGCGGUA